rnacentral:rRNA from 1 species
UACAGAGGUCUCAAGCGUUGUUCGGAUUCAUUGGGCGUAAAGGGUCCGUAGGCGGUUUUGUAAGUCAGUGGUGAAAGCCCAUCGCUCAACGGUGGAACGGCCAUUGAUACUGCAAGACUUGAAUUAUUGGGAAGUAACUAGAAUAUGUAGUGUAGCGGUGAAAUGCUUAGAGAUUACAUGGAAUACCAAUUGCGAAGGCAGGUUACUACCAAUAUAUUGACGCUGAUGGACGAAAGCGUGGGGAGCGAACAGG